UGCUGAUUCUCAGGGGGCCAAGGGAGUUCCUGGCUUGGGAGGCUUCAAAGGACAAAUGGGGUGGCCUGGAAAGACUGGAGCUGCAGGACCAGAUGGACCUCAAGGGCCCCAAGGGCAAACCAGGGCCACAGGGUGAAAAUGGGCCGGCUGGCCAGAAAGGAGAAAAGGGAGAUCCUGGUCUUUCUGAGGAAGAGGUGAAGGAGGUGGUCAGGAGCGAGAUGAGAGGCAGAUGCGAUUGUGGAGUUGAGUUGGGAAGGACGCUCGUGGAAAGGGGUA
rnacentral:lncRNA from 1 species